rnacentral:rRNA from 1 species
UAAAGCAAGAAAGGGCGUAUGGGGAAUGCCUAGGCACACUCCGGCGAAGAAGGACGCAGCAAACAGCGAAAUGCGACGGUGAGCGGUAAGCACGUGAAGAGCCGUCGAUAUCCGAAUGGGGGAACCCACACGGAGUCAUAUCCGUGUAUCACAUGUCGAAUACAUAGACAUGAUGAGGCGAGACGCAGGGAACUGAAACAUCUAAGUACCUGCAGGAAGAGAAAAUAAGAAUGAUUUUCUGAGUAGCGGCGAGCGAAAGGGAAAGAGCCCAAACCGAUCUGAGGAUCGGGGUAGUAGGAUCAUCGAUAAAUCAAACAGAGGAUCAUAGAGGAAUCACAUGGGAAGGUGAGCGAGAGAGGGUGAGAGCCCCGUACUCGAAAUGAGAGACUGGAGAGAGAUGACACCUGAGUAGGGCGGGACACGAGAAAUCCUGUCUGAAUCAGCCGGGACCAUCCGGCAAGGCUAAAUACGAGAGAGUGACCGAUAGUGAACCAGUACCGUGAGGGAAAGGUGAAAAGAACCCCGGGAGGGGAGUGAAAGAGAACCUGAAACCAUAUGCCUACAAGAAGUCAGAGCCCGUUAAAGGGUGAUGGCGUGCCUUUUGUAGAAUGAACCGGCGAGUUACUGUAUGGAGCGAGGUUAAGCAGGAUAUGCGGAGCCGAAGCGAAAGCGAGUCUUAAGAGGGCGCGAGUUGCAUGCAGUAGACCCGAAACCGGGUGAUCUAGCCAUGACCAGGUUGAAGUUGGGGUAAAACCCGAUGGAGGACCGAACCGACCCCCGUUGAAACGUUGGCGGAUGAGUUGUGGCUAGGGGUGAAAUUCCAAUCGAACCCGGAGAUAGCUGGUUCUCCCCGAAAUAGCUUUAGGGCUAGCGUCGAGAGAAGAGUUGCGUGAAGGUAGAGCACUGAAUAUGUGAUGGCCCCAUCUCGGGGUACUGAGCAUAAUCAAACUGCGAAUGUCACGCCAACAUGCUCGGCAGUCAGACAGCGGGUGAUAAGGUCCGUUGUCAAGAGGGAAACAGCCCAGACCAUCAGCUAAGGUCCCAAAAUGUAUGCUAAGUGGAAAAGGAUGUGGAGAUGUACAGACAACUAGGAGGUUGGCUCAGAAGCAGCCAUCCUUUAAAGAGUGCGUAACAGCUCACUAGUCGAAUGACUCUGCGCCGAUAAUUUACCGGGGCUAAGCAUACUACCGAAGCUAUGGAUCCCAAGGGAUGGUAGGGGAGCGUUCCAUGAACGGAGAAGUACGACCGAAAGGACGUGUGGAGAUCAUGGAAGAGAGAAUGCCGGUGUGAGUAGCGGAACGUGGGUGAGAAUCCCACGCACCGAAAACCCAAGGUUUCCAGAGGAAGGUUCGUCCGCUCUGGGUAAGUCGGGACCUAAGGCGAGGCCGAAAGGCGUAGUCGAUGGACAACAGGUAGAGAUUCCUGUACCCGUAUAUAUGUGAAGGAAUGACGGAGAGAGGAAGCUGCAGCCAGCGGCUGGAAGAGCUGGUGCAAGCGAGAUAUCGGGAUGGCAGGCAAAUCCACCAUCCGAAACGAGAAGGCGUGAAGCGUACGGAAAGCUACGGCGAGUACGGAAGGCAGUGGAGGAACUUCCAAGAAAAGUUUCUAACGUUAAGUAUAUAUGGCCCGUACCGAAAAUGGACACACAUGGGUGAGGAGAGAAUCCUAAGGUGAGCGAGAGAACUAUAGCUAAGGAACUCUGCAAAAUGACUCCGUAACUUAGGGAGAAGGAGUGCUCAUAGAGAUAUGAGCCGCAGUGAAACGGCCCAAGCGACUGUUUACCAAAAACACAGCUCUCUGCUAAGCCGCAAGGCGAAGUAUAGGGGGUGACGCCUGCCCGGUGCUGGAAGGUUAAGGGGAGGGGUUAACGCAAGUGAAGCCCUGAACUGAAGCCCCAGUAAACGGCGGCCGUAACUAUAACGGUCCUAAGGUAGCGAAAUUCCUUGUCAGGUAAGUUCUGACCCGCACGAAUGGCGUAAUGACUUGGGCACUGUCUCAACUGCAAAUCCGGCGAAGUUGUAGUGCGAGUGAAGAUGCUCGCUACCCGCGAUUGGACGGAAAGACCCCGUAGAGCUUUACUGUAGCUUAGCAUUGAAUUCCGGUAUUGUCUGUACAGGAUAGGUGGGAGACUGGGAAACUAGGGCGUCAGCCUUAGUGGAGUCAACCUUGGGAUACCACCCUGACAGUACUGGGGUUCUAACAGGACGCCAUGAAGCUGGUGACUGGACAUUGUUAGGUGGGCAGUUUGACUGGGGCGGUCGCCUCCUAAAAAGUAACGGAGGCGCCCAAAGGUUCCCUCAGAACGGUCGGAAAUCGUUCGUAGAGUGCAAAGGCAGAAGGGAGCCUGACUGCGAGACCCACAAGUCGAGCAGGGACGAAAGUCGGGCUUAGUGAUCCGGUGGUACCUCGUGGGAGGGCCAUCGCUCAACGGAUAAAAGCUACCUCGGGGAUAACAGGCUGAUCUCCCCCAAGAGUCCACAUCGACGGGGAGGUUUGGCACCUCGAUGUCGGCUCGUCGCAUCCUGGGGCUGUAGUAGGUCCCAAGGGUUGGGCUGUUCGCCCAUUAAAGCGGCACGCGAGCUGGGUUCAGAACGUCGUGAGACAGUUCGGUCCCUAUCCGUCGCGGGCGUAGGAAAUUUGAGAGGAGCUGUCCUUAGUACGAGAGGACCGGGAUGGACUGACCUCUGGUGCACCAGUUGUUCUGCCAAGAGCAUGGCUGGGUAGCUAAGUCGGGAAGGGAUAAACGCUGAAAGCAUCUAAGCGUGAAGCCCCCCUCAAGAUGAGAUUUCCCAUAGCAUAAGCUAGUAAGACCCCUUGAAGAACACAAGGUUGAUAGGUCAGAGGUGGAAGUGCGGUAACGUAUGUAGCUGACUGAUACUAAUAGGUCGAGGGCUUGACCAA